GGCUGGUCUGAGUGCAGUGUUUACAACUAUCACAACCAGUUAUAGGUGUCUUCAUUUCUUCUUCACUCCCACUGUUUCACUUGACUAGCCUUUA
rnacentral:Y_RNA from 1 species